UUUCCGUAGGUGAACCUGCGGAAGGAUCAUUCAAAAUAAGUGUUUUAUGGCCCUUUUUAAACGAUCCAUAUCUACCUUGUGUGCAACGUUAUGAUUCCUUCUAUCGUUAUCUUUUAGGUUACGGAAGCCGGAACCUCUACGUAUUAACAAAAACACCUUUUUAUUUUUUAUCUGAACAUUUGUUAUCACGAAUUAACUUAAUUCGAAAAUACAACUUUCAACAACGGAUCUCUUGGCUCUC
rnacentral:misc_RNA from 1 species